CACAGAGAGCUUGCUCUCGGGUGACGAGCGGCGGACGGGUGAGUAAUGUCUGGGAAACUGCCUGAUGGAGGGGGAUAACUACUGGAAACGGUAGCUAAUACCGCAUAACGUCGCAAGACCAAAGUGGGGGACCUUCGGGCCUCAUGCCAUCAGAUGUGCCCAGAUGGGAUUAGCUAGUAGGUGGGGUAAUGGCUCACCUAGGCGACGAUCCCUAGCUGGUCUGAGAGGAUGACCAGCCACACUGGAACUGAGACACGGUCCAGACUCCUACGGGAGGCAGCAGUGGGGAAUAUUGCACAAUGGGCGCAAGCCUGAUGCAGCCAUGCCGCGUGUAUGAAGAAGGCCUUCGGGUUGUAAAGUACUUUCAGCGAGGAGGAAGGCGUUAAGGUUAAUAACCUUGGUGAUUGACGUUACUCGCAGAAGAAGCACCGGCUAACUCCGUGCCAGCAGCCGCGGUAAUACGGAGGGUGCAAGCGUUAAUCGGAAUUACUGGGCGUAAAGCGCACGCAGGCGGUCUGUCAAGUCGGAUGUGAAAUCCCCGGGCUCAACCUGGGAACUGCAUUCGAAACUGGCAGGCUAGAGUCUUGUAGAGGGGGGUAGAAUUCCAGGUGUAGCGGUGAAAUGCGUAGAGAUCUGGAGGAAUACCGGUGGCGAAGGCGGCCCCCUGGACAAAGACUGACGCUCAGGUGCGAAAGCGUGGGGAGCAAACAGGAUUAGAUACCCUGGUAGUCCACGCCGUAAACGAUGUCGACUUGGAGGUUGUGCCCUUGAGGCGUGGCUUCCGGAGCUAACGCGUUAAGUCGACCGCCUGGGGAGUACGGCCGCAAGGUUAAAACUCAAAUGAAUUGACGGGGGCCCGCACAAGCGGUGGAGCAUGUGGUUUAAUUCGAUGCAACGCGAAGAACCUUACCUACUCUUGACAUCCAGAGAACUUAGCAGAGAUGCUUUGGUGCCUUCGGGAACUCUGAGACAGGUGCUGCAUGGCUGUCGUCAGCUCGUGUUGUGAAAUGUUGGGUUAAGUCCCGCAACGAGCGCAACCCUUAUCCUUUGUUGCCAGCGGUCCGGCCGGGAACUCAAAGGAGACUGCCAGUGAUAAACUGGAGGAAGGUGGGGAUGACGUCAAGUCAUCAUGGCCCUUACGAGUAGGGCUACACACGUGCUACAAUGGCAUAUACAAAGAGAAGCGACCUCGCGAGAGCAAGCGGACCUCAUAAAGUAUGUCGUAGUCCGGAUUGGAGUCUGCAACUCGACUCCAUGAAGUCGGAAUCGCUAGUAAUCGUAGAUCAGAAUGCUACGGUGAAUACGUUCCCGGGCCUUGUACACACCGCCCGUCACACCAUGGGAGUGGGUUGCAAAAGAAGUAGGUAGCUUAACCUUCGGGAGGGCGCUUACCACUUUGUGAUUCAUGACUGGGGUGAAGUCGUAACAAGGUAACCGUAGGGGAACCUGCGGUUGGAUCACCUCCUUACCUUAAAGAA
rnacentral:rRNA from 1 species